rnacentral:rRNA from 1 species
GAUGAACGCUGGCGGCGUGCCUAAUACAUGCAAGUCGAGCGAACGGACGAGAAGCUUGCUUCUCUGAUGUUAGCGGCGGACGGGUGAGUAACACGUGGAUAACCUACCUAUAAGACUGGGAUAACUUCGGGAAACCGGAGCUAAUACCGGAUAAUAUUUUGAACCGCAUGGUUCAAAAGUGAAAGACGGUCUUGCUGUCACUUAUAGAUGGAUCCGCGCUGCAUUAGCUAGUUGGUAAGGUAACGGCUUACCAAGGCAACGAUGCAUAGCCGACCUGAGAGGGUGAUCGGCCACACUGGAACUGAGACACGGUCCAGACUCCUACGGGAGGCAGCAGUAGGGAAUCUUCCGCAAUGGGCGAAAGCCUGACGGAGCAACGCCGCGUGAGUGAUGAAGGUCUUCGGAUCGUAAAACUCUGUUAUUAGGGAAGAACAUAUGUGUAAGUAACUGUGCACAUCUUGACGGUACCUAAUCAGAAAGCCACGGCUAACUACGUGCCAGCAGCCGCGGUAAUACGUAGGUGGCAAGCGUUAUCCGGAAUUAUUGGGCGUAAAGCGCGCGUAGGCGGUUUUUUAAGUCUGAUGUGAAAGCCCACGGCUCAACCGUGGAGGGUCAUUGGAAACUGGAAAACUUGAGUGCAGAAGAGGAAAGUGGAAUUCCAUGUGUAGCGGUGAAAUGCGCAGAGAUAUGGAGGAACACCAGUGGCGAAGGCGACUUUCUGGUCUGUAACUGACGCUGAUGUGCGAAAGCGUGGGGAUCAAACAGGAUUAGGUACCCUGGUAGUCCACGCCGUAAACGAUGAGUGCUAAGUGUUAGGGGGUUUCCGCCCCUUAGUGCUGCAGCUAACGCAUUAAGCACUCCGCCUGGGGAGUACGACCGCAAGGUUGAAACUCAAAGGAAUUGACGGGGACCCGCACAAGCGGUGGAGCAUGUGGUUUAAUUCGAAGCAACGCGAAGAACCUUACCAAAUCUUGACAUCCUUUGACAACUCUAGAGAUAGAGCUUUCCCCUUCGGGGGACAAAGUGACAGGUGGUGCAUGGUUGUCGUCAGCUCGUGUCGUGAGAUGUUGGGUUAAGUCCCGCAACGAGCGCAACCCUUAAGCUUAGUUGCCAUCAUUAAGUUGGGCACUCUAAGUUGACUGCCGGUGACAAACCGGAGGAAGGUGGGGAUGACGUCAAAUCAUCAUGCCCCUUAUGAUUUGGGCUACACACGUGCUACAAUGGACAAUACAAAGGGCAGCGAAACCGCGAGGUCAAGCAAAUCCCAUAAAGUUGUUCUCAGUUCGGAUUGUAGUCUGCAACUCGACUACAUGAAGCUGGAAUCGCUAGUAAUCGUAGAUCAGCAUGCUACGGUGAAUACGUUCCCGGGUCU